GAAAGUGUGAAGGCCCAGACAUAUUUCGGUAAGUCUCCUAGUCGCCCCCAUCCCACCUCUCUCGCACAACACACACUUCAACCUAACCCUAAACCUAAAUCGCCGCCGCCGCCACCGCCGCCCCCGACCCUGCCCGUGGAUUUGCUCGCGUUGCCGCCUCUCCCACCCAGGCAUCCCAUCCCUUGGCCCGUCGUCCUAUGUGCUGCCCCGUCAUCCGCUCCCGAGGAGCUGCUGCCCCGUCUGCAACCAAGGAGCCUCCGCCGUUCUGGAGUCAACUGCCUAGGAGCUGGCGAGGAGGCAACUGCAGUUCUGGAGUCGCCCCGUCGUUCUUCUUCCUCCACCAGCGACCCCUGUCCAGAUCGACACCCUUGUCCUGCCCCGACUCCAGGCCACUGAAGGGCCGGCCCUGGGGAGGGGCAGGGGGGGCGGCCGCCCCGGGCCCCCAAAAUCCAGGGGGGCCCUGAUAGUUGGCUAUAGGCCUAUGGCUCAUACUAGGCAGACGCGCGCCAGGGAGCGGCAGCUCGAUCUCCCGAUCCCAGCGAUUGAGUGUUUGAUAGCGAGCGAUCAGCGGAAUUUCCUUUCACAUAAAAAAAGAGCGAUCAAUUAGCUGCAUGGGUGAUUUCCUUCCUAUUCUGUUCGACCAUUCCAUCAGGCAGAGUCACGCAACGAUUCCAGGUCCCAGCCUAGCUGCUGGCAGCCGACGCCGCCGUGCACGCACGCACGCACUCCCGCCUGGGUGCCUCGCCGCCCCCAACCCUCUGACUCUAGGCGCUGUGCAGACCCCUGUGUAUUGUAUACGCACAUGCACUAAAGUUUGAUCAUCACUCCGUCAGGUAUUGAGAUGACGUAAUGUCUGCUAUGGAGAUUUUCGGGCAUGUCAGAGAACUUGAUUGGUAUCCUAAUAUCUUCAUUGUCUAUCACAUCUUAUUUACUGUGCUUGUGACGGUCGCAUGGCCCGAAAGAAUCUUUUCGAAGUUGAAUUAUUGAAGAAUUAUUUGAGGUCAACAAUGACUCAAGAGAGGUUAAAUGGUUUGGCUACAUUAUGCAUCGAGGAGAAAUUAUUGGAUGGGAUUGACAUCGACCUCAUCAUAUGUGACUUUGCAUCGAGGAAUGUUAGAAGAAUUUAAGGUAAUAUGCAUAAAUUAUUUGAUACACAUAUUAAUUUUGGAUGCAUUUAAGUGUUACUGGUAAUAAUUUAUAUAUACAUUUUUUGAGAAAAAAAUAUAUACAUGGAUAUACGUAUAUUACAAUGAGUGUAUAUAUAUUAAGGGCCCUCAAUUUUUAGUUUGCCCCGGGCCCCCGAAAUCUCAGGACCGGCCCUGCUCACGGAUCACAAGUUUAAUGCUUCCUGAAUCAAGAAAUCUUUUGAAUCUGUUAAUGUAGCCUCCAUUUACCGUCUGCUCAACUCUAUUUGUGGCAUAUCAUAUUUUGACUUCUGUUUGUCUGCUCAAGUGGAGAGCUCCAUAAACUUCAGAAAUCAAACUCACAAAAUUGUAAGGAUAAAAGGUAAUGGCAAAUUGCAUUUCUCUAGUCUCCGUUUAUUCUUCCUUGGCGCACUACUAUUUAUGUUUUGUUUAUUUGGUAUGUAUGUUCAUAGUGAAUGCCCACUUCUCCUAUAUAUAUUUUCCUAAAUAUGUUUCUGAAUCAUACUACUUCACAUGAAGUUGCUUGGUGGAUAGUGCAGUUACCUGCUGCUUCUUGAUAAAAGUUGUUGCCAUGUAUUUAACUCAUCACAUAAUUUGCUCCGUAUGCAUAUUUUUCCAUUAUUUUUUUAUUAAGCAUCAUGGUCUGAUAUGUGCUAUUCGCAGGAGAAAAGAUGGAAGGAAAAAGAGGUGGAAGUGAGAUCCCUGCAUAUGAACAAUCGAGGCUUGCAAGUAUUGCAAAAAACAAAAGGAAGUUGAGAGCCUUGUUGAAAUAAAAAGAAAAUAUUUAGCAUUGGGAGGAAACACGAGGCCCUCUGGGGAAGUAGGCGGCUUGUCCCAGCGACCCAGGAAGAAAGUUUAUUCGGAGUUUUCAUUGCUACAUGUAGCUGGCUUCAAGAGUUAUGCUCGUAGCUGGCGUCAAGAGUUAUGUUUAUUUUGAAAGUGAUGCAUCCAUUAGUUGGUUUUCUAAUUAAUAGGGAAAAUAAAUUUCUUGCAGGCUGACAAACUUGACCAUGACCUGCAGAAAGACGAAAUAUUUGUGAGAGCACAUACACGUAAAAUUGGAGCUCCGCACAAGCAGAUACACUAAUUAAAUAACCUAAAGAAGUAGCUGAAAGCCGGAUGGAUGAAGUGGCGCCAAGCUUCUGGCAUUCUCUGUGACAAGAGAGUGCCA